ensembl:lncRNA
CCGUAGUAGUCCCUAGCCAUUGGGUCAGUCUCUUGGUUUACAGUAGAAGUCCCUAGCCAGUGGGUCAGCCUCUUGGUUUACAGUAAAGGUCCCUAGCCAGUGGGUCAGUCUGAUGGUUUGCCGUAGUCCCUAGCCAGUGGGUCAGUCUGAUGGUUUACCGUAGUAGUCCCUAGCCAGUGGGUCAGUCUGAUGGUUUAUCAUAGUAGACCCAAGCCAGUGGGUCAGUCUGAUGGUUUAUCGUAGUAGACCCUAGCCAGUGGGUCAGUCUGAUGGUUUAUCGUAGUCAUCCCUAGCCAGUGGGUCAGUCUGAUGGUUUGCCAUCGUAGUCCCUAGCCAGUGGGUCAAUAUGAUGGUUUACAGUAGUAGUCCUUAGCCAUUGGGUCAGUCUGAUGGUUUACCGUAGUAGUCCCUAGCCAGUGGGUCAUUCUGAUGGUUUACUGUAGUAGUUCCUAGCCAGUGGGUCAGUCUGAUAGUUUGCCAUAGUAUUCCCUAGCCAGUGGGUCAGUCUCUUGGUUUACAGUUGUAGUCACUAGCCAGUGGGUCAGUAUUAUGGUUUACUGUAGUAGUCCCUAGCCAGUGGGUCAGUCUGAUGGUUUACUGUAGUAGUCCCGAGCCAGUGGGUCAGUCUGAUGGUUUACAGUAGCAGUCCCCAGCCAGUGGGUCAAUCUGAAGGUUUAUCAUAGCAGUCCACAGCCAGUGGGUCAGUCUGAUGGUUUACUGUAGUAGUAUCUAGCCAGUGGGUCAGUCUGAUGGUUUACCGUAGUAGUCCCUAGCCAUUGGGUCAGUCUCUUGGUUUACAGUAGAAGUCCCUAGCCAGUGGGUCAGCCUCUUGGUUUACAGUAAAGGUCUUUAGCCAAUGGGUCAGUCUCUUGGUUUACAGUAGAAGUCCCUAGCCAGUGGGUCAGCCUCUUGGUUUACAGUAAAGGUCCCUAGCCAGUGGGUCAGUCUGAUGGUUUGCCGUAGUCCCUAGCCAGUGGGUCAGUCUGAUGGUUUACCGUAGUAGUCCCUAGCCAGUGGUUCAGUCUGAUGGUUUAUCAUAGUAGACCCAAGCCAGUGGGUCAGUCUGAUGGUUUAUCGUAGUAGACCCUAGCCAGUGGGUCAGUCUGAUGGUUUAUCGUAGUCAUCCCUAGCCAGUGGGUCAGUCUGAUGGUUUGCCAUCGUAGUCCCUAGCCAGUGGGUCAAUAUGAUGGUUUACAGUAGUAGUCCUUAGCCAUUGGGUCAGUCUGAUGGUUUACAGUAGACGUCCCUAGCCUAUGGGUCAAUAUGAUGGUUUACUGUAGUAGUUCCUAGCCAGUGGGUCAGUCUGAUAGUUUGCCAUGGUAUUCCCUAGCCAGUGGGUCAGUCUCUUGGUUUACAGUUGUAGUCACUAGCCAGUGGGUCAGUCUUAUGGUUUACUGUAGUAGUCCCUAGCCAGUGGGUCAGUCUGAUGGUUUACUGUAGUCGUCCCUAGCCAGUGGGUCAGUCUGAUGUUUUACCGUAGAGGUCCCAAGUCAGUCGUGUUAGGUAGAUGAGCAAAAACUGUGUUUUCAGAGAUGACUUCCACGACUUGCUAAACAGAUAUCUCCGGGACGCACUUGUCGCAUUAGAAUUACGCCAUCUGAGGGAAGACAAUGGUCUAUAAUCACAAUAUUUAACUUACAAUAGUCUUGAAAUCGAACUAAUGGUAGAUUGUGAGAAGACGCUGAUAUGUUUGUAACCAUCAUCAUAUUUGACUUCUGAGAUUACUCUGAAAGUCUCUUCAUAUUUUGUGCUUAAUAGUUGUUUCAUAAGUGCCUUGUUGGCUUUCCUUUCUUAUCUAUGACAUUAUAUUAGGACAAUAAAUAUCAUAACUGAUAGUGCUUCGGAAAUUAAU